GAAAAUUUUUUUUUGAGCUGACUCAGUCCUUCUUCUUCUUCCUCCCACCGAACCAAAAGCUCUCCCUCUCUUCUCCCUUAAACCGAAGAUUUCUCUCAAAUCUCUCUUCCCACCGACUUUCACCCUUCAAAUCGCCCAUUUAGGAUCCAACUUCCUCUUCUCUUUCUUUCUCAUUUGGGCGAUUCGAGCUUGCCCUAGAUUCUACCUCUCUUCUCCAAAUCGAUGCU
rnacentral:lncRNA from 1 species